AGAAAAAAUGAUGGCUUUUAUUAUUUUAAAAAUAGUUUCUUUUUAUUGAUCACCUUAUAAGAAUCAAAACCACCCACUUAGAUUAAAAAAAAUAAACCGACACCAACUCUCCACCCUUUUCCUUUCUUUCUUACGGAGUAUAUUCUAUUUUUAUUUUGUUUCCUUGUCAUUUUCCAUUCACAACUCCCCUCUCUAAUCUGCUCAUUCUCUUCCUACAUAUUGAGAAUUUGUAAUCUAUUACUUGUUCUGUUUACUAUGCGAAAAGCAUCAAAUACGACUACCACUGCAAUGAAUUCGUCCUCCCUACUCCGCGAAUUAAAGCAGGUGAUUGCAAAAUUCGGUGAAAUUUGAGUACAAACUGCGUGAUCCGAACUGCAAAAUUCGAGCUCCAUUGCGGUGACUUUUGUGGCGUCAUUUUAGAGAACUCUAUACGGUCCAGAUCUUAACAGUAGCACAAGAUGAUCAAUCGACCAGAACCGAUCAAUGUCAAGUCAAGGCGUCAAAUUAGUUCUUUUCCGUAAGACUCCGGCGAGACAGUAUUCAGGAAUAGAUUAUUAUUUUUUUGAAAAAAAAAUUCCACAAAGUAUAGACUUCUUUGUAUUUCUAGUUAUAAUGUGUAUUAUUUAUUCAAUGUAUUACGAUGUCAUUAGAAAUUUGUGGGAAUUAAUUAAUGUCCUGUUUGUUAUGAUUAUGGAAUUGCGCAAAUUUUUGGCUA